AAAGGCUUUAAAAGAUUUUAUUUCAAUUUAAACCCUAGGGUUUUCACCCAUUUGAACUUUGGAUCUUCAAACCAAUAGGGUUUAUCUAUAAAAAGGGUUUAUUUCAUAAAUAGGCAAUCCCAUAAUUUUUGGAUAAUUAUUUGGAGUUGAAAAACUAUUUUAUUUAAAUAAUUAUAUAGCCCUAAAGGCAUUUAUAGGGCAAAGGUAUUUUUAUAUAUUCUAUUUUGAGGGGAAAUUACUCCCAAAAGUUGAAUCAUGAUAAAACAUGAUUUUACAAAUUUUCUGGAAUUUAUUUGGACCAAUUUGGAGUUCAAAAUCAAAAGAUAUCAAAGAAAUCAGAAAAAGAAAAAGAGAAAAGGCUAAAAGAAAAAAAAAAAGGAGUAAACCGGACCGGCCCGGCCCAACGGGCCGAACCGGCCCCGUUCCGCGCGAACCGACCGAGCCCGACCGGCCCUGCCAGCCGUGCGCGAGCCGCAAGCCCCUGACAGGUGGGGCCCACCUGUCAGGGCCUUCGUCUGCCCGAAGGAAAGCGCCGCCG
rnacentral:lncRNA from 1 species